rnacentral:misc_RNA from 1 species
CACCUCCGUGUUCACCAUCCGCAACGCACGUGGAACUGCAGCUCUAGUUCUCUCUCGACUUCUACCGCGCCCUUGUUUUUCUUGCCUCUCCCAUCCUCUCUUCUCUCCACUCGCCACCCAUUCCUCCGCUACUCCACUCCUUUUCUUGUCGAAAUUCUCGCCUCCCUGGCCCACAUACACACUUACUGACCGACUUUGAAUAACCCCCUCUCGCCAUCAUGCGGACCGGCACCAACGCGAACUGCGAGCCCUUGACGGAGAUCAGCUCCCUCCGCACCUCUCGCCGCCCAUCCUCGCUGCAUCGCCGCAAGUCGAAGAUCGGUGGCCGCACGGUUCUCUACAUCCCCUGCCGGGAGCGCGUGCUCAUCGCCCUCGCCGCGACGAUGCAGGUGAUCACCUUCGUGCUGCUCAUCGCCGCCGCCGCCACGGAUGUCUUCAUGGUCGACGGCACCAGGGCCAUCAGGAUCGGCGCCGACCUGAAGGCCGUGAGCGCCGGCCUUGGUGUGUCGGUCACCGAGGGCUCGAAGCCGUUCUGCUACUCGCUGUGGGGUGCGCGCAAGUGCGGCACUUCCACCUUUCACACAGAGAAGUGGUACACGGAGCAUGGUAUCAAGAACAAGGGCUUCCCGUCGUCGGUGACCUACACCAUGAUGCUCGGUGCGGCCGCGUUCGCCGUACUGGCUUCAUGCUACUCCUUCAUCAGCAUCAUCGGCAUCACCAUCGUUGUGUGCAUGCAGGACUUCACGGCCGUGCUGUGCGCGUGGUCCUUCUCCGUGUGGAUGACCAUCCUCAUCUCCUGGGCCCUCAGCGUUGGUGUGUACGCUCGCAGCAUGGCGACCAUGAACAGCACCAUCGUCGGCCGCAAGGUACAGGUGAAGGACUACUGCGACUUCUCUUCGUCCUUCGCCCUGAUCAUGACCGCCUUCGCCCUGCAAGGCUUCCAGUUCACCUUCACCGCGGUGUACACGCGCAUGUUCGAGAAUCGCAUGAAGUCGCUGGUGGCUGAGCAGAAGCAGAUGAAGGAAGCGCCCCUUAACCGCGCCUAGGAGAUAGCCGAGUAAGUCUGGCCUGAUCGGCCGUUGUCUUUGUUUCUAGCGUAGCGCACAGGCGGAGGAGAUAUGGUGCAGAUAGGUCACCGCUAAAGAAAGCAAGACGAUGAUGGUGGGGAAAGGCGCACAAGCGGCGGGUAGCUGUCAUGUUCAACAGAAAUCGCCCGAGGGCUCGUAGAUAUGUGAAAUUUCUGUCUUUGGUAAAGAGAGGAAGAGAGGGAGGCGCUGAUGGGAGAGGGCGGUCGGUGAAGUGGAGGGUGGAUUUCUUGUUCACUAAGACGCAUGCAACGCCGACGGCUAUUCGAGCGGGUUGAAGGAGGAAACGAGGGAGAGGGUAAAAGGGGUCACGCAGGCAGUAAGGGAAAAGGAACAAGUACUAGUUUUUCGUGCCGAGGAUCCCUCAUCUGUCCUACUUGUCUUUCUCUUCCCAUCCCCUCUUUUCGUUCGGACUCCUCCCUCCCUUUUCCUUGCCCUCCUUCCCUUGCUUUGAUGCACCGUGUACGGUGUUCGGUUAGUGGCUCCCCUCCUGCCUUCCUUUCGCGAGCCAUCACUGCCGGCUUCCCUGGUCCUCUUCGCGUGCUUAUGUUCGUGGUCACGGAGGAGCGCCGCACAUGUACCAGUCCUCCUCCCUUUUCACCCCACCCCUACCCACCCCUCAUCGAUUGGGACCCUCAUCCCGGUGGGCCUCCAACGAAGCAGGGCAGGAGAGUCAUAAUCAAUCAUCUCUCUUUCUCUCGGUUUUUCAGGUUUCUCUGUGUGUGUACGCGUCUCCUCCCCUCUCUCACCCUCCACCUCCUGCCUUCUCUUUUUUACUCGCACUUGUCGCUUCCUUUUUUCCUCUCUGAGCCUGUGUGUGUAUGUAUGUCCCUCUUCCAUUUCCGCUCGAUCUUUCCUCCUUCGUUUUCUUCUUCGUGUUACACGCCUGAUUUCCUCUCUUUGUGGGAUCCUUUCUUCACGUAUAUUCCUGUCUCUCCCCCUCCUCCCCCGCCCCUUCCUCAUCACGGCAAGUUUCUCUCUCUCUCUGGACGUGGUCUCCACACUUGCGCUUCUUCCAUGCAGACGAAAAAAAAAUGCGCGCGCCCUUGCUUCUUGUUCCCUCUCCCUCACUCUCGAGCAUGUUCCUUCGAAAGAGCAACGGUAGGUCAGCCGGUCAGUAUCGUUGACCAUCCGCCUCCGCCUCCCCACCCCUUUUCAACCACGCACACGCACACGCCGAUGGGUGAAUUUGCGCGCCUUGAAAGACGCUCCCUAGAGAAGCAAUAACAAGAGACGAAGAGCAUACGCACGUGCACACGCAAGCAGAUAUAUUUGUAUGCAUACAGAGGGCGGAUAUCGCACACUCACAACAAAAAAAGAAAUUCACCAAAGUAAGGAGGGGACAUUUAUUUUCUUGUCGGUUGCGUUAAGUGACGAAUACGCGAUUGCCUAUUGUUUCCCCUCUUCCCCCUUCCACUCCCUCUCCUUUUGUUGUUUUCUCGUUUCUCGUUUCCUUCAUCCUGCUCCCUCUUGUCCCAUCCACCCCCCCCCACAUCCCGGUGACACCCUCCCACCCCACCCCCUCCGUCCCAACAAGCUCUUACCCCUGUGUUUCUCUUUCGUUGCGGCUCUCCGUCUUUUUGUUGUUUUUUCUCUGCUCCCCUGCGCUGUCGUACGUGGAAAUGAUCCAGCGCGAAUAAGACACACACACUGGCUCACGCUCUUUCUUUGAAAUAAGGCAGCGAUGAUACUCCAGGUCAGAACGAGGAAUGGAAGGAAGUGACAACGGUGCAGAUCCCGCCUAGUGCAACGGCGAACACAAGUGGGGGAGGAGGGAGGGAGAGGGCUAUCCCGGGUUUCAUAGCAAAAAGAAAAGUGCGAACAAUAGCAAUUCGGGUCUCUGCGCGCGUGUGUGUGCCCCAGCAGCCGGUGAACGUAUGGUAAUCGUUUGUUUUGCGUUCGUCUGAUGUGUGUGGUGUAAGAGCACCGAGAAGGUGUUGUGAUGAGAUGAGCCUUGCUGCGUGCUGGGUGGGUACACGACGGAGACCGGUGCUGAUGCAUACUGAUUCGCUGAAGUCGCACAAGCACAUACAUAGAAAGGGAGGCGCACCGGUGGACCAGAGAGCCUACAGCAGGAAAAAACUGAAGUAGUGGGGAAGGCUAUCCCUUCUCUUUUUUGUUUUGGCCAUGGGGCACACUCUCCUUCAAAAGCAAGAUGAAAAUGGAUAUAUAUCCGCGUAAGUUCUGACUUGUCCGUUUUUUUUUUGGCUGUUUAUGUCCUUCUAUGGCGCAUAUGUGUGUUUGUGUGUGUGUGUGUGUCUUUGCCCUUCCCCUGUCUCUUCGCCACACCGUAUUUUCUGUCCCUUUCCUCUCCCUCUGAGUCCCCUUCCCUUUUUUUUUUCGGCUUUGAGUGCUUUCUCUCCAACCUAGCCCACAUUGUUUCUUCUGGUCUGUAUUUGUUGCUCCUCUUCUCGCAUUCUCUCCUUCCCCCUGAGUAGUUGCUGACAUUUCUCGUCAUGGUCUUUCUUUUUCACUCUGUUGUACACACCGACACACACACACCUCCUGCUCCUGCUUCUCCUCUUUUUUUUCUGUCCAUCUGCGGAUAAAUCGAUCUCCCGAAGGGAAGAGAGGCUUAUCUAUACAAAAAAAAAAACAGAAGUACCUCAUUGUAUGCUACAGUCUAGCACACGACUAUUUCAGCGGUGAAAGAAGCCCCCAGCACAAAACCACACGUACACAUGCACACAUACAUGCGCUCGAGCCCACUGCUGUUCUGAAUAGGAUGUAUGCAUGUGUACGCGUGUAUUUUGUGAGUGUGCGUGUGUGUUUGUCCAUGUUUUUGCAUCAGCUCUGACGCACGGCUUGUUGUUUUUUUUUUCUGGAUGUGCCCUGCGUCCUUCUUGUGGUGUUUGUAAAGACGCUCAAAGAAGACGUCCCUGUUGUGAAGAUAGGCUCCCGCCCUCUCGUUGUCUUUUCCGGCAGGCAAUGGUUUUUCCUUGUUUAUUGAUGUCUUGCCUUGUUUCCUCCGCCUCCUUGACCCACCAUCGCCACCAUCAUCACUUUCAAGAGAGACCUCACCACUCUCAUGCGACUCUGUAGGGAAGGGCAUUUUUUUCUGCCUCUCUGUCUUUCUUUCCUCUUUUUGUUCAUGUGCUUGUUUUGUUUUCUGGUCUCGUGCUGCACGGCAUUAGCGUAUACAGUUGCUUUCUCUGUCCCUCUUUUUCUCUCUGGCCUCGCCCUCCUCUUGCCAGCAGGUGUAUCGUUUUUUUUUUGGUUGGUUUGGUUGUUGUUUUGGUUUUCUUUUCUUUCAAGCCCCUUUUCGACGGACGCUCGUCAUGCUUCCUUGUCCCUCCCCCCCCGCCCCGCCCGCCGCCCCGCCCCCUUUUGUGUGUGUGUGUGUGGAGCGGGAGAGUUUGUCGAAAAAAAAGGUGGCGCAGGAUAGUCCCAUCCCAAAGAGCGAAACAAAGCGGGGAAACGUGAUAUGAAACAAAAGGGGGGGGGGCAAAACGAUGAACGACGCUGUUUUUUUUUUGGUGGUGGUUUCUCUGCAUCUGCGCCUCCCCCCCUCUCUCUCUCUCUCUCUCUCUCCGUCUCUCUUUUCAGCGCGUUUUCUCUUUUUCCAUUUUCGUCUGAACUCACCUUCCAUGGGAACAAGUAUGUGGCGCACACACACACACACACAGUGUGCGAGCAAGCCCGCCUGUAUGGCCACCCUCUGCCCCUCUCUCCCCCCUGUUGUGUGUGCAUGUAUCGGCGUCUCUUCUCGCUUUUUCCUCAAAUAGCUUCCACACACCGCUUCGUGACCAUGGAACAGUGAGGGGGGAGGCGGUGCGGAGGGAAGGAAACAGCGGACACCUCUGCAAACUGCCACCGAGAGUGAAAAGCAGCACAUCACCACGAAACAAGUCUACUGACAGGAGCUUUUCCUCACCUUGGUGUGAGGGCUCGCAACGGCGAACCUGGAGUGUCCCCCUGCCUUCGCAGCCUCACCUCAUUCUGCUCUCUAGCCCUCCUCGUCCACGGCCGGGUGUGUUUUGCGGGGAUGGGUUGCGAGGAAGAGAGGGGGGCCACCACGUUUUCGGGGCUUAAGAAGUUGCGUGCGACAAGUGACGAGGCGGACAAGGACUAUAUCUUGCAACCAAAUCGGAAAAGUGCAAGGUCAUCUGCACCUGCGCCAUAGCAAACGAAGCCCAUACGGUUAUGUGAAUGAGGGAAAAGGGCUCCUUGCUUACCCUCUCGCACUUCACCUGGUCAGAGCCCGCCCAGGUGUACUUUUUUAGAGAAUUCUUUCUGCGGGCCUCACCAUCGUUGUGAUCGGAGCGGUGGUGUGGCUUGACGUCCCUUGCUGAAGUAUGCGCUUGCACAGGUUCGCGUCGCGAGUGUUAUAGCCUCUGCAUCGUAUCACACUCUCCUAUGUCGCUAUGCGCCACUCACACAAAACAUCACCAACUUCUCCGCUUCUUCUCUGCCUCUCU